rnacentral:rRNA from 1 species
GGCUCAGGACGAACGCUGGCGGCGUGCCUACCCCAUGCAAGUCGGACGGCUGAGGCGCAAGUCUUGGCAGUGGCAGACGGCUGAGUAACACGUGAGGACCUAUCCAGUUGAGGGGGAUAGCCGCUCGAAAGAGCGGGUAAUACCGCGUAAGCCUGUGGGGGGUAAGCCCUCAGAGGGAAAGCAGGGUGACCUGCGCGACUGGAGGGACUCGCGGCCCAUCAGGUAGUAGGUGGGGUGAGAGCCUACCUAGCCGAUGACGGGUAGCUGGUCUGAGAGGAUGGCCAGCCAGACUGGGACUGAGAGACGGCCCAGACUCCUACGGGGGGCAGCAGGGGGGGAUCUUGGUCAAUGGGGGAAACCCUGAACCAGCGACGCCGCGUGAGGGAAGAAGGUCUUUGGAUCGUAAACCUCUUUUGCCAGGGAAGAAGGGGAGGGCCGAGAGGCUUCUCUCUUGACGGUACCUGGCGAAUAAGCCCCGGCUAACUACGUGCCAGCAGCCGCGGUAAUACGUAGGGGGCGAGCGUUGUCCGGAUUUACUGGGCGUAAAGAGCGCGUAGGCGGUCUGAAGAGUCGGCUGUGAAAUCUCUGGGCCCAACCCAGAGGGGUCGGCCGAGACCUUUGGACUUGAGGGUGGUAGAGGAAGGUGGAAUUCCGGGUGUAGUGGUGAAAUGCGUAGAGAUCCGGAGGAACACCAGUGGCGAAGGCGGCCUUCUGGGCCAAACCUGACGCUGAGGCGCGAAAGCGUGGGGAGCGAACCGAAUUAGAUACUCGGGUAGUCCACGCCCUAAACGAUGGACGCUAGGUGUCGGGGGUAUCGACCCCCCCGGUGCCCGAGCGAACGCAGUAAGCGUCCCGCCUGGGGAGUACGGCCGCAAGGCUAA